AUAUAAAUGACAAAAA
rnacentral:sRNA from 1 species